rnacentral:misc_RNA from 1 species
AGCAACCCAAAGUCAAAUUCUUCAAGCAUAUGUUUAACAAAGGCAAGAUUCCUCAAGCAUACAGACUUAUGAAGAAGUGGACAUAUGCAAGCCAAGGACCAUAAGCAGCUCACAAGGAGUGCCAAAAAUACGGAACCAAUGCAUACAAGAGACUAAUUCACAAGGAUGAGAAGCCAAUGUCGCUGAUUAUCGGGGUCGACCAGCUAACUUACAGAGCAGAGUUAUCAAAAUGGAU